rnacentral:rRNA from 1 species
GACGUAGGUGGCGAACGUUAUCCGGAAUUAUUGGGCGUAAAGGAUGCGUAGAUGGUGUAGUAAGUUAUCGGUGGCAAAUCGAGGCUCAAUCUCGUGGAAGUCGGUAAUACUGCUAUGCUAGAGGAUAGGAGAGGUUAACGGAACUCCCUGUGGAGCGGUGAAAUGCGUAGAUAUAGGGAAGAACACCAAUAAGGCGAAGGCAGUUAACUAUUCUAUUCCUGACAUUGAGGCAUGAAAGCGUGGGGAG